GCUAAAUGGAAUCAUACACACACAUACUUGCACAACCUCCAAGCUGAAACUUAGUUUCGGCCGUGACUGUACGCACUCAUUUCCCUACACAAAAUUACAAUUCAAUAAAAAAAAACUUUUGGAAAACUUAAAUCACUUAAGAGGCGUACUUAGCCUGAUACCGUUGCGAGCAUAGCAUAGUUAGGUGUUAGGAUUAUCACGCUGCUACUCGAAAUGUUAAAAACCGUUUUGGAAGCUUACUCAAAGUUAUGUAUAUGCAUCAGUUAUUUCGGUACCAAAUAUAAUGAUCAGUAGAUUUUACUUAUACAGAGGGAACCCAAAUAUUAUUCCAUUCAAGGCAGUGGCGUAGCUACAACUUCGGGCGCCCGGUGCCAAGGAUGUUCUGCCGCCCCCUUUAUCUACCUACCUACAAGUUUCAUGAGGUGGUUCAAUGGAAAUAUCCACCCGUUUCACAAAUUUGGAAAAGCUUAAUGGACGUUUUGGUUUUCUUUGUGAUUUUGAACAAAUUAUAGAACUAAUCAGAGACUUAUACAAUAACAAUCUCGUCGAAAGAAAAAUGACAGCCACUUGCCGAGUCCUAUCCAGAUGACUGGGAUAACGAAGAUUUAUAUAGUGACAUCCAAGACGUCCUACUUUUAUUAAAGAGAGAAGAACAAAUUGGAUUUUUGCCAGUUUUCGCCAAAGUUUUAUUAUACAUUUCUUCAAUGGGACUGGAAGCCUACAAGACGUUAGCGACAGCUUUAAGAAGACCUGUAUCAGUUGCAUCUUGUGAAAGAUCUUUUAGCAAACUUAAAUUGAUCAAAUCUUACUUGAGAUCGACCAUGAGUCAGAGUAGAUUGUCCAAUCUUGUGAUUCUCUCAAUAUAAUGUGAAACUGCUUCAACUUUAAAUUACAAUGAUAUAAUAUGUGAUUUUGCAACGAUCAAAGCUAGAAAAGUGCAUCUUUAAGUUCUAUCACUAUUUUAAAGAAAGAUAUAAGCCGAAAGAUGUAAGACAAAUUCAAAGACUGAAGAGUAUUCGAGUAUAAAUUAAUAUUUUUCAUUGUUAUUCAGAUUAUUACAUUGUGAGUGUAGAACUCUUUAUCUUUUAUAAUAAAUUUUGUAAAAAAAUU